GAUGAACGCUGGCGGCGUGCCUAAUACAUGCAAGUCGAGCGAACGGACGAGAAGCUUGCUUUUCUGAUGUUAGCGGCGGACGGGUGAGUAACACGUGGAUAACCUACCUAUAAGACUGGGAUAACUUCGGGAAACCGGAGCUAAUACCGGAUAAUAUUUUGAACCGCAUGGUUCAAAAGUGAAAGACGGUCUUGCUGUCACUUAUAGAUGGAUCCGCGCUGCAUUAGCUAGUUGGUAAGGUAACGGCUUACCAAGGCAACGAUGCAUAGCCGACCUGAGAGGGUGAUCGGCCACACUGGAACUGAGACACGGUCCAGACUCCUACGGGAGGCAGCAGUAGGGAAUCUUCCGCAAUGGGCGAAAGCCUGACGGAGCAACGCCGCGUGAGUGAUGAAGGUCUUCGGAUCGUAAAACUCUGUUAUUAGGGAAGAACAUAUGUGUAAGUAACUGUGCACAUAUUGACGGUACCUAAUCAGAAAGCCACGGCUAACUACGUG
rnacentral:rRNA from 1 species